rnacentral:rRNA from 1 species
GACGAACGCUGGCGGCGUGCUUAACACAUGCAAGUCGAACGGAAAGGCCCCUUUGGGGGUACUCGAGUGGCGGACGGGUGAGUAACACGUGGGUAACCUGCCCUUGACUUCGGGAUAAGUGGAGGAAAGUGGGGCUAAUACCGGUAAGAAAUCCUUGCUGCAUGGGGGGGGUUGGAAAGCUUCGGCGGGUUUGGAUGGACUCGCGGCUCAUCAGCUGGUUGGUCGGGUAGUGGGUUACCGAGGCUUCGACGGGUCGCCGGCAUGAGAGCGGGACCGGCCACAUUGGGCCUGCGGUACGGCCCAGACUCCUACGGGAGGCAGCAGUGGGGAAUAUUGCACAAUGGGCGCACGCCUGAUGCAGCAACGCCGCGUGCGGGAUGACGUCCUUCGGGUUGUAAACCGCUUUCAGCAGGGACGACGCUUUUGUGACGGUACCUGCAGAAGAAGCACCGGCUAACUACGUG